GCCUGGGUGGCUCAAUGGUUGAGUGUCUGCCUUCAGCUCAGGUCAUGAUCCUGGGGUUCUGGGAUCGAGUCCCACAUCAGGCU
rnacentral:tRNA from 1 species